rnacentral:rRNA from 1 species
AUUGAACGCUGGCGGCAUGCCUUACACAUGCAAGUCGAACGGCAGCACGGGUGCUUGCACCUGGUGGCGAGUGGCGAACGGGUGAGUAAUACAUCGGAACAUGUCCUGUAGUGGGGGAUAGCCCGGCGAAAGCCGGAUUAAUACCGCAUACGAUCUACGGAUGAAAGCGGGGGACCUUCGGGCCUCGCGCUAUCGGGUUGGCCGAUGGCUGAUUAGCUAGUUGGUGGGGUAAAGGCCUACCAAGGCGACGAUCAGUAGCUGGUCUGAGAGGACGACCAGCCACACUGGGACUGAGACACGGCCCAGACUCCUACGGGAGGCAGCAGUGGGGAAUUUUGGACAAUGGGCGAAAGCCUGAUCCAGCAAUGCCGCGUGUGUGAAGAAGGCCUUCGGGUUGUAAAGCACUUUUGUCCGGAAAGAAAUCCUUGGCCCUAAUACGGUCGGGGGAUGACGUUACCGGAAGAAUAAGCACCGGCUAACUACGUG